GACGAACGCUGGCGGCGUGCUUAACACAUGCAAGUCGAACGGAAAGGCCCUGCUUUUGUGGGGUGCUCGAGUGGCGAACGGGUGAGUAACACGUGAGUAACCUGCCCUUGACUUUGGGAUAACUUCAGGAAACUGGGGCUAAUACCGGAUAGGAGCUCCUGCUGCAUGGUGGGGGUUGGAAAGUUUCGGCGGUUGGGGAUGGACUCGCGGCUUAUCAGCUUGUUGGUGGGGUAGUGGCUUACCAAGGCUUUGACGGGUAGCCGGCCUGAGAGGGUGACCGGCCACAUUGGGACUGAGAUACGGCCCAGACUCCUACGGGAGGAAGCAGUGGGGAAUAUUGCACAAUGGGCGGAAGCCUGAUGCAGCAACGCCGCGUGCGGUAUGACGGCCUUCGGGUUGUAAACCGCUUUCGCCUGUGACGAAGCGUGAGUGACGGUAAUGGGUAAAGAAGCACCGGCUAACUACGUG
rnacentral:rRNA from 1 species